rnacentral:rRNA from 1 species
CCUACGGGGGGCUGCAGUGGGGAAUAUUGGACAAUGGGCGAAAGCCUGAUCCAGCCAUGCCGCGUGUGUGAAGAAGGCCUUCGGGUUGUAAAGCACUUUCAGUGGGGAAGAAAGCCUUGGGGCUAAUACCCUCGAGGAAGGACAUCACCCACAGAAGAAGCACCGGCUAACUCCGUGCCAGCAGCCGCGGUAAUACGGAGGGUGCGAGCGUUAAUCGGAAUUACUGGGCGUAAAGCGCGCGUAGGCGGUCUGAUAAGCCGGUUGUGAAAGCCCCGGGCUCAACCUGGGAACGGCAUCCGGAACUGUCAGGCUAGAGUGCAGGAGAGGAAGGUAGAAUUCCCGGUGUAGCGGUGAAAUGUGUAGAGAUCGGGAGGAAUACCAGUGGCGAAGGCGGCCUUCUGGACUGACACUGACGCUGAGGUGCGAAAGCGUGGGUAGCAAACAGGAUUAGAUACCCCUGUAGUC